AGUCUUCCUGCCCAGUGGUAUUUAACGGCAGCGGUAUAUUAAACGUAAGAAGGUAGCAUAAUAGAUUGAUUUUUAAUUGAAAUCUGGAAUGAAAGGAAUAAUGAAAAAUUAAUUGUCUCAAUUGAUGAAUUUAUAUUAAAAGUAAAAAUUCUUUUAUAAAUUUAUAAGWCSAKWAGACCCUAAGAAUUUUACAAAAUUUAUUAUUAUAGGUUGAAAAUAAAUAUUUAUGGUUAACUGGGAGGGUUAUUAAAUAGAACUUUAAUCUAUAAUGACAAUAAUGUUUGAGUUUAUGAUUAUUAUUAUAAUUGUUAGAAUUAAUUACCUUAGGGAUAACAGCUUAAUAUUUUUGGAGAGUUCGUAUUGAUAAAAGUGUUUAAGACCUCSAUGUUKAWUUWUAKUAUUWWKUAGAUGKWKAWAUAGUUAGUCUGCG
rnacentral:rRNA from 1 species